AACGAACGCUGGCGGCAUGCCUAACACAUGCAAGUCGAACGAAGGCUUCGGCCUUAGUGGCGCACGGGUGCGUAACGCGUGGGAACCUGCCCCUCGGUUCGGAAUAACACAGAGAAAUUUGUGCUAAUACCGGAUGAUGACUUCGGUCCAAAGAUUUAUCGCCGAGGGAUGGGCCCGCGUAGGAUUAGCUUGUUGGUGGGGUAAUGGCCUACCAAGGCGACGAUCCUUAGCUGGUCUGAGAGGAUGAGCAGCCACACUGAGACUGAGACACGGCCCAGACUCCUACGGGAGGCAGCAGUGGGGAAUAUUGGACAAUGGGCGAAAGCCUGAUCCAGCAAUGCCGCGUGGGUGAUGAAGGCCUUAGGGUUGUAAAGCUCUUUUACCCGGGAUGAUAAUGACAGUACCGGGAGAAUAAGCUCCGGCUAACUCUGUGCCAGCAGCCGCAGUAACAC
rnacentral:rRNA from 1 species